UUCGAUUGUUGUUCUUUUUGAGGCUGGUUAUCUAUAAAAGAGCCAUCAAGGGAUCCACCGAUAGCCAGUCCUUGUUUCAGGAAGCAAACAUGAUGGCAACGAAUAGGUUCCAGUUGAUGGUCCACCUGGCAGUGCUGCUCAUCUUACCGUUUCUGACAUCUGCUGGAGAUGUUACCAAGCAAUGUCCACAAAUGGGUAGUUUGAACACCUUUUACUCUGGCUCUCACUGCUACUAUGUCUACUCGGCCACAACUGGAGAAAAUGCCAAAACUCGAUGCUGCAAAGACAAGAUGAGCCUCCUUUGGAUCAAAACGCAGGCUGAGCAGGAUUACGUCACUUCAGAGGUUAUGGGAAGCGCUGGUACCAACUCCUUAUGGGUCGGCGUUAUAAAAGAAGGUUCCAAGAAUAUGUGGAAGACUUGCGGUUAUAAUUUUGGGGAAAAUCACGGUAACUGGACUGGCAUUGGUGUUAAGCCAUUAUAUGCUAUGAUAACCGUGAGAAGAAGACAUGUCUAUUAUGAAUAUGAGUGCAGCAUAAAUCUUCGGUUACCUGUCAUCUGUAAAACUAAUCCUUGCUAUCCAAAUCCAUGUCAUAAUGAUGGUACGUGUAUGCCACUCGGUAUUGAGUACAAAUGCCUCUGUAAAGGAAAUUUUACUGGUACUAACUGCAACAGAAAUAACGCUUGUGCUGGCAAACCUUGCAGGAAUGGUGGAACUUGUAUUGUUGAUGGCUAUGAAUAUAAAUGCAAAUGCCCGGCUCCAUAUUUUGGCAAGAAUUGUGAAGAAAUUGAUCUGUGUGCACAGAAACCUUGCCUCCAUGAGGGUACCUGCUAUAUCGUCGGUGGUACCGUGAAAUGUACCUGCAAACCUGCUUAUGUUGGGCCCAGAUGUGCCACAUAUGAUGUUUGCUAUGAUCAACCUUGCGUGAAUGGUGGAACCUGUAUCCGUCAUGAACACAAAUAUGAGUGCCAAUGUUUAAAGGGUUACAGUGGAAUCAACUGCCAAACAUAUUCAGCCUGUUAUGCACAUCCUUGCCUAAAUGGUGGUACUUGCAUUGCUGUGGGUUUGAAAUUUACCUGCCAAUGCCGAAUUGGAUAUAAGGGCGAAGUCUGCAGUGUCUAUGAUGCUUGUCACUCUUCUCCUUGUUUAAAUAAAGGAAUUUGUCGAAGCAUUGGAAAUGAAGAUUAUAAAUGUUCCUGCCAACCUAAUUUUAGUGGCAAACAGUGCACCGUUUUCAACUACUGUUACUCGGAUCCUUGCAACAAUGGUGGAACCUGUAUGACCACCGACACUUCUUAUACAUGCAGAUGUAGAGAUGGUUAUCUUGGCCCUGACUGUUCUACAUAUGAUUAUUGCUUUACUAAGCCCUGUAAGAAUUCUGGAACUUGCUAUGCGGUUGGCAAUACCUACAGAUGUAACUGUGUUCCUACCUACACUGGUCCCACUUGUGAGACACGUAACUACUGUGAAAACAGCCCCUGUUUGCAUGGUGGUAUCUGUACCAACCAUGGCAGUGGUUACACCUGUAGAUGUACUUACCAAUAUAGCGGGCAACAUUGUGAAACUUUCAAUGCCUGCUUCAACUCACCUUGUUUGAAUGGUGGAACCUGCAAGACCCAUGAGUAUACCUAUCGGUGUGACUGUCCAUCUGGCUUCACUGGUCAUCGAUGCAACGUUUAUGAUGCUUGUAUCUCUGAUCCCUGUAUGAACAGUGGUACCUGUAUCAACGUUGGCAAUGACUAUACCUGCAUCUGUCCUAUUGGAUACAUUGACAAUCACUGCAACGUCUUUGAUGUUUGCAACAAACAACCUUGCAGAAAUGGUGGAGUUUGUAUGAAGAAGGGCUCUGUUUUCUCAUGUAUUUGUAAAAUUGGCUUCAAAGGAGACCAAUGCGAAAUCUAUGAUUACUGUUCGACAAAACCAUGCAGAAAUGGUGGGAAAUGCAUCGCUAAAGACUACGCUUACCACUGCGAAUGCACCACAGGUUACAGUGGCAAUAACUGCGAAUACUUCGAUGUCUGUUAUUCUGCCCCCUGCCAGAAUGGUGGUACCUGUAUGAUGAUUGGCAACAGAUUCCAAUGUAUUUGCACUCCUGGGUAUGAAGGAGACCUUUGUUCUGAAAUCAAUGUUUGUGAUCCAAACCCCUGUUUCAACGGUGGUACCUGUAUAUCCAACGGCAACACAUAUUUAUGUAUUUGCCCAACUGGCAGCACUGGUCAGAAGUGUGAAGAAUUCAAUCCUUGUCUGUCUAAUCCUUGUAAGAAUGGUGGAACAUGUACCAAUGAUGGCAUUAAAUAUCAUUGUACCUGUGUGAAUGGUUUCUUUGGAGUUCACUGCACAAACUAUGACACCUGCAUUUCCAAUCCUUGUCAAAACGGUGGUACAUGUGCAACAGUCGCCAAUGGCUUCAGAUGUGUCUGUGCACCUGGCUAUUGUGGAACCUUGUGUACAAACUACAACCCCUGUUACGAAGAGCCAUGUAAAAACUUUGGAAAAUGUAUCUCUCGCGGAAGACACUAUGAAUGUUCCUGUAGGAUGGGAUUCUCUGGUACCCACUGUGAUGAAUAUAAUCCCUGUCAUUCAUCCCCAUGCAGAAACCGAGGUGCCUGUACUAGUAUGAAUACCACUUACAGUUGCUCAUGUACUUCAGGUUAUAUUGGAAAGCAAUGUACAGUGUAUGAUUCUUGUUAUUCUAACCCAUGCAAAAACAAUGGACUGUGCAUCAACAGAGGCAGAAAAUACUACUGCAGUUGUGAAGUAGGUUAUACAGGAGAUCUCUGCCAAACAUAUGACGCUUGUUAUUCAAACCCCUGCAAAAACCGAGGUAUCUGCAAUUGCAACGGCGACAUGUUCAACUGUACCUGUUACGAUGGAUUCACAGGUAGAAUGUGUGACCAAUAUUCCGCCUGUUAUUCCAACCCCUGCAAGAAUGACGGAACCUGCCAAGAUUUUGAGGAAUCUUUCAGAUGUGACUGCAAACCUGGAUAUUCUGGACCACUCUGCACCAAAUUUGAUGCUUGCCAUUCCAAUCCUUGUCUCCACGGUGCCACAUGUGUCAACAACGGCUACAAAUUCACCUGUGUUUGUGACAGUGGUUACUACGGAAUCCGUUGCAGCAACUUCGAUGCUUGCAGUUCUAAUCCUUGUCACAAUAAUGGUAUGUGUUCCAAACAAGGUCUUUCCUUCGUAUGUUCUUGCAAAGAAGGUUACACUGGAGCCCAGUGCACAGAAUUUGAUCCCUGCUAUUCUACCCCUUGUUUGAAUGGUGGAUCCUGCUCAAAGACUGAAAGUGGUUACCAAUGUUCUUGCAAUGAGGGAUUCAGUGGACACAGAUGUCAAUCAUUUGAUGCCUGCCACUCCAAUCCUUGCCGGAAUGGUGGAACAUGCCAGACCUCUGGUUCAAACUACAAAUGUAUCUGUGCUGCAGCUUACAGUGGAAAAGUAUGCACUGACUUUGACCCCUGCUAUUCUCAGCCUUGCAAGAAUGGAGGUUCCUGCUCCAGAGUUGGUGAAAACUACAAAUGUUAUUGUACUGCAGAAUACACUGGAAAUGAAUGUACAGAAUAUAAUGCCUGUUUCUCAUCUCCAUGCCAAAAUGGUGGAACUUGUACCAAUACUGGCUACUCCUUCACUUGCCGCUGUCAAAUCAACUAUUCCGGUGAACAGUGUGAACUCUUUAAUUUCUGUAAUUCCCAACCUUGCUUAAAUGGUGGAACAUGCGAAAACAGGCCACAAGGAUAUAUCUGUGACUGUGUUGAAGGAUACUUGGGUAAACGUUGUAAUCUAGGAGCCUGUCCUGAAAUCGAUGCUGAUAAAGUCGUCCAACAUAAUGGAACAUGCUACUAUCUCUUUGGACACGGUAAAACUGACAGUAAGUCAUAUGAAGGUGCAAUGAACAGAUGUUGUAGUCUGAAAGGAAAUGUAGUCUGGCUGGAAAGUUCCUAUGAAUUGAAUUACGUUGCAUCACAUUUACUUGAUGGAAUGGUUUCCCAUACUGAUACAUGGGUUGGCGCCAAGAAAGUGCACAGCCAUUUCGAAUGGAUCUCUUGCGGAACACCUUAUAAACAUGUGAAGAACAACCUUUGGUAUUCAGAACACCCCAAACCCUCUUCUAGUGUUGCUUUCAUUGGGAAGAGAGCAGAUGGAAGCCAUCUUUACAGCUCCUGUGCCAAUAAAGAACUCAAGCCUUACAUCUGUGAGAUCUGUGCCCAAGGAUUUUUUGGUGAUAUGUGCCAGUCAAGAUGUCUCCAUUGCCGAGAUAGCGUAGGAUGUGAACCUCGUACUGGAUAUUGUCGCUUUGGAUGUCUUGACGGAUGGACAGGUGAAAGAUGUAAUGUUAAGAAAACAGUUUAAAUUUAGAUCGUAUCUAGACAUUGAUUGAAAAAGUGAAGUUUUAUUAAUUUUAAGUGAAGAAGCAUUGAUGUAAGCAGAAUGAUGCGGAUAA
rnacentral:misc_RNA from 1 species